AGCAACACCAGGCAAACAAAGAAAUUAAAAGAGCAAGGGGAGAGGGAAGGUGAGAAAGAGACUUGCAGUUCUAAUAUCACCUCUCUCUCUCUCUCUCUCUCUCUCAUAAACUGAAGAGAGUAAAGUAACAAGGAAACCAAAUUGCAGAUGGGGCGAGAUGACGACCCACAGCUUGCCCUUGUUGAGAAACAACUUGAAGCUUCACUAGAUAGGAACCGUUCACUGGAAGAAGAGAACGAGCAACUGAAGCUAGAGAUACUGAGACUCAGAACACAGCUCAAAUCCCAGAGUUCUGAUGGUAAAUUUGCAGUUUGGAAGAAGCAGCUACAGAACCCAGAUGAUGGAAACAGCAGCUUCAACACAAAUGGAUCAAUAUCGCAACAGCACAAACCAAUUAGUGCUCAUAUCAAUUCAGGAGAUCAAGCUCAAGCAGGGGGGAACCUGCUAUUUCCAAGACCAGGUUCUCCAGAACUGUCUUUAGCUACAACAGAACGACAGCUUCCAAGGGUACCAAAGCCACCUCCAAGGCCCACUUCACCACCCACUGCACCUUCAACACAAGAAGUAAAUGGAAAUAAAGCACCACCACCACUUCCACCGCCGCCACCACCUCCUCCACCACAACGAUCCAAGUCUUUAAAUGGUCCUCCUCCUCAUACCACCGCAAAAAUCCGCAGAGUACCAGAGGUCAUGGAAUUCUACCGCUCACUUACCAGAAAAUACUCAAAAAUGGAUCAGAAAACCAACGUUUUAGGAUUUCCAGGAGCUGCAAAUGCAAGGGAGAUGAUCGGAGAAAUCGAAAAUCGUUCCACUUAUCUCUUAGCUAUAAAAUCAGAUGUAGAAACACAUGGGGAGUUUAUCAGAUUCUUGGCAAGGGAAGUUGCAAAUGCUAAAUUCACGGAGAUAUCAGAUGUGGAGGCUUUUGUGAGAUGGCUGGACGAGGAACUAUCUUACUUGGUAGAUGAGAGGGCUGUGCUCAAGCAUUUUAAUGAGUGGCCAGAGAGAAAAGCAGAUACAAUGCGAGAAGCCGCAUUUAGCUACAGAGAUCUCAACAACCUUAAAUCUGAAGUCUGGUCCUUUCAGGACAAUCAUAAGCAUAGCGUUAGCCUUGCUUUGAAAAGGAUACAAUCCUUGCAAGACCGGUUAGAACGAAGUGUUCACAAUGCAGAGAAGACGAGGGACAGUGCGAGAAAAAGAUACAGGGAGUUUCAGAUCCCUUGGGAGUGGACACUAGACACCGGCAUGAUCGGUCAGCUCGGUGAGACUAGCAAAAGAAUACAUGAAAAGGGUUGUAAAUGAACUACAGACCAGUGAGUGCCCAAAAGAGGACAUUAUGCUUCAAGCUGUUCGAUUUGCCUUCCGAGUGCAUCAGUUUGCCGGGGGCUUUGAUGGGGAGACCAUGCACGCAUUCGAAGAACUAAGGAAGUUGGCCAAAGGUUUUGAUAGAAGACAGAUUAGCUGAAAGUUACACAGGCUUACCAGUGUUGGUGGCAUCUGUAAAUUAGAAUCUCUGAAUUAUUAAUCUGAUAGUUCAUGAGAAGAUUUCAGAUGCGGAUACUUUUUUUGCUAAACCAUCUACUAUAUUUUUGUUCCAAACACCUAAAAUCAGGCACAGAUGUAUCCCAACUCCUUUAUAGGCCUGUAUCGAAUCUUACAAUAUCAAUUCCAUCAUUAACAAGGCCUCGAUAAGAAUCUCAAAUUCAAGCA